UGCGGAAGGGGCGGGGUAGAGCGGGGGCGCAGCGCGAUGGUUCUGUCUGCGGGCCAGGCCCCAACCCCCUCGCGGCGGUUCGAGUUUCUGAGCCCGAAGGACGCGGCCUCGGCCAAUCCCAGGGCUCCAGGGCGCGUUUAAAAUGCAGCUGGACAGAUGUGCAGACGAGAGGCCCAGCGCUGACCUGGAUCCUGAAGCAAGAGGGACAUCCCAGACAGGGGUCCUCCCUGAGGGUGCCCGGACCUCAGGUCCCACCAGAGGUACUUCGAUCCCCAGGACACUCGUGGUCAGGCACAACCUAGAUCUCGGAUGUCAGGUGGCACUGCUUUUUCAACCCCUUGGUCAUGAGGAGCUGUACUCUGGCAUGGAAAUGGUAAAACCAAAUGAUGGAGCACCAACACAGUGAUUCUCAAGAUGCCCGGGAAAGUGUCUGUGGGUCUUAACCACCCCAAAUCUCCUGGGAUGUGUGGGUCUGUUUAGAGAGGUAGCUGGGGCUAAGAACCAGUACGCAAUCCACAGCAGCUGGAAUGCGCCGCAGUGUGGGAUCGCACCAGGGAGGCAGCCUCACAACCCCACUGAGCAGGCAGAUGGUCCUGCCACAGCGGGGGACGGGCCUCUCUCAUCCUCUCUGGCCUCGCCCUGAGCUCAGACCCCUGACUCGGCUCCAGUUGGUAUUUACCCAGGGAAUGUUUGGCCCCUCCAUGCAAUGCAUGACCAAGUCUGAGUCCCUCACUUCCAAGUUGAGGAAACUGAGGCCCAGAAACAAAUGCUUGCCCAUGGUCACUUUCCUUUAUCGCUCUACCAAACAGAGAGCGUGACAGGGUAACAUGUAACACAUGGCGGGCAGCGGGUACCACAGCACGCACACACAGGACUCAUCAUGGUGGGAACUUGUGGGGCUCCGAGGGUGGUGGCCUGAGGGACACACAUCCUGAAGGCUGAGCGGUUGUUGGGCAGAUGGCGGAGGAGGAGACAGCACGAGGAAGGCCAGGGCUGAGCAAUGGUGAAUUCAUGAGAAGCACAGGUAGGUGCUUGGGCUUGAAGAGUCAGGAAGGGGCCAGGCUGUGGGGCUGGGUGGAGGAUGCUUCCUGACUUUGGUAGCAUGGUCCCUUCCGUAGGAGUCUGAGAGGUAACCACAGCAACCACAAUGAUGACCAACCCCGUCCCACUCUGCACCUGGAUUCUAAAGCAGCCCUCACUGCAGUGCCGUAGCAACCCCACGAGGAGGGGCCACCCGCCCUUCUGGAUCGGACAUGGGUUCCUAUUGGUCUCCACAAAGCCCAAAUCAAUAAGUGUGGGUACAGGUACUUGUGGAUGCCCAAGGACUCUGGUUUGGCCGGAGGAGAGUUUUGUGAAAAAAUAAAUAAAGCACCGUGUCGACUGCU